rnacentral:rRNA from 1 species
AUUCCAGCUCCAAUAGCGUAUAUUAAAGUUGUUGCAGUUAAAAAGCUCGUAGUUGAAAUUUUGAUUGUAGCGGUCAGUCUCACAACAGUGAGUGCUAGAUGUGCUGUGGUCAUGUUUCGUUGGAACGUGUGUGGCAUUGAGUUGUCGUGCAUGGGGAGACGAUCGUUUACUGUGAAAAAAUUAGAGUGUUCAAAGCAGGCUUAUGCCGUUGAAUAUAUUAGCAUGGAAUAAUAAGAUAGGACCAGGGUACUAUUUUGUUGGUUUGUGCACCUUGGUAAUGAUUAAUAGGGACAGUUGGGGGUAUUCGUAUUGCGGUGUCAGAGGUGAAAUUCUUGGAUUUCCGCAAGACGAGCUACUGCGAAAGCAUUUAUCAAGGAUGUUUUCAUUAAUCAAGAACGAAAGUUAGGGGAUCGAAGAUGAUUAGAUACCAUCGUAGUCUUAACCAUAAACUAUGCCGACAAGGGAUUGGCAGGGUGUGUUUAUGCCUCUGUCAGCACCUUAGGAGAAAUCAUAAGUUUUUGGGUUCCGGGGGGAGUAUGGUCGCAAGGCUCAAACUUAAAGACAUUGACGGAAGGACACCACCAGGAGUGGAGCCUGCGGCUUAAUUUGACCCAACACGGGAAAACUUACCAGGUCCAGACAUAGUGAGGAUUGACAGAUUGAGAGCUCUUUCUUGAUUCUAUGGGUGGUGGUGCAUGGCCGUUCUUAGUUGGUGGAGUGAUUUGUCUGGUUAAUUCCGUUAACGUACGAGACCCCCGCCUGCUAAAUAGAUGGUCUAGUGAUUUUUCACUGGAAACAUCUUCUUAGAGGGACGUGCGUUCUAUUAGACGCAGGAAGAUGGGGGCAAUAGCAGGUCUGUGAUGCCCUUAGAUGUCCUGGGCCGCACGCGCGCUACACUGAUGCAUUCAACGAGUUGCCUUCACCGAGAGGUGUGGGAAAUCUUGGAAUGUGCAUCGUGAUAGGGAUAGAUUCUUGUAAUUUUUAAUCUUGAACGAGGAAUUCCUAGUAAACGCAGAUCAUCAAUCUGCAUUGAUUACGUCCCUGCCCUUUGUACACACCGCCCGUCGCACCUACCGAUUGAAUGGUCCGGUGAAGCCUCGGGAUUGUGAUGACUUUUCUUCAUUGAGAGGUCGUUGCGAGAACUUGUCUAAACCUUAUCAUUUAGAGGAAGGUGAAGUC